rnacentral:rRNA from 1 species
AUACGGAGGGUGCGAGCGUUAAUCGGAAUUACUGGGCGUAAAGGGUACGUAGGCGGUUUAUCAAGUCAGAUGUGAAAUCCCCGGGCUUAACCUGAGAACUGCAUUUGAAACUGAUAGACUAGAGUGAGUGAGAGGUUAGUGGAAUUCCAGGUGUAGCGGUGAAAUGCGUAGAGAUCUGGAGGAACAUCAGUGGCGAAGGCGACUAACUGGCACUACACUGACGCUGAGGUACGAAAGCGUGGGGAGCGAACAGGAUUAGAAACCCCGGUAGUCC